UUAAGUGUUUGGCUUGGGAAUAGAUAACCAUAAGCUCAGUGGGGUAGAACACUAAAGUUCUCUAUAAGUAUAUAAUAUGUAAUUGUUGACACAUUUAAUUAAUCAAGUAUUCCAUUACAUUCACUAGGGUACCCCAAGUCUCCUAAGUCUAACUGGCAGAUGAAUAGCUUAUUGGAAGAGUUUCUAAAAAUGGUUUUACAGAACAAAGACAUUGAAAAAAAAAGAUAUACCAGAAAAAAGAGAAAGACGUCAGAAAGAUAUUUGAAAAUAGGCUCAUAGCGGGGCCCAGCGGAGAAGCAGCAGUGGUGAUGUCAGCAUGCUCCAUCUAUGCACCAAGCCUGCUGCCGAAAUAAGGAAAAUUACAGACGAAACAGACCACAGUUCAGGGGUAGAGGCUUGAGAUGAAUUUUAAUUUACUAAUUUGGUAAACAAUACCGUUAGUUACAAACAUAAGAUGUUCAGAGAUCUAAACAUGGAUACAUGGAAACAGGACUUAUUCUGAUUGCAACUGUCAUGACUUUUGACCCACUCAUACUAAGCCCAGUAUGUGAAAAUUGGUAAAACGUUUACUGCAGCCAUAUCAUUGGAGUCACCAACAAUUGGAGUCCCCAACAGUUGGAUAGACAUCACCCAGAUUUUCAAUGCCCCGGGGCCAAAAGCCUCCCGACUCGAGUAGACUUGCAUUAUGCUUGAGAGCUGGCUGGCACAGGCACGUGGAGCAGGGAGGUAUCACGAGCAAGCUAUAACAGAGGGAGCCAGCCCCGGAUUAUGGAAAUCACCACAUGGAGAAUAGAUGGAGAGCACAUGUGCUAAGAAAAAUGGAUCUAGUACUUAUAUAAAGGAAAAAAAGAAGGGUAUUAACGUUCCCAAGCUAAAUCCUGUAAAUGUGUGCAUAUGUGUUAAUGAGAAUGGUUAGGGCAAUGAGUGCUAAAGAAAUGAGUUUAAAAUUAUUUAUAUUUAUUAUUUCAUAAAAAAUGCACAUCAGUGCUUUAUGUGUGGUGUCUGCAGGGCCCAUGAGAUCA